GGAGAAGCACUUCUUUGAAAAUUAUCCCCAGUACUGUCUUUACUUGCUUGUGCUUAUGCAGGGGCCACUAGAGGGAUGAGCAUGCCCACCUGAUGGUGAGUCUAGGAAGAAUUUCAAACCUCAUCUCAGCAUGAUUACCUUGACCAAAAUCCUACUUCUAAUUUCUUGGAGGUGUCAUGUCCAUUUUCAGUUAAAUGAGCAUGGGGUGAAUAACACCUAUGUUUAUUUUUUAGAAGUAUUUCUAUUGCUGAAUUAUUAAUUUUAAUUUUAUGAGUUUUAGUAUAUUUAACAAUGUGUCCUUAACAGAAAAAACCUGUUUAAAGUAUUGAAUUUUUAAUAUUUGUUUACAAAUAAGCAUAUAAAUUUCAACAUCAACUGACUUUUGUUUACAAAGUCUAAAAAAUAACAAGAGAAAUACAUUCCUAUAGCAACUACAGUGAAAA